rnacentral:rRNA from 1 species
UACGUAGGGUGCAAGCGUUGUCCGGAAUUAUUGGGCGUAAAGAGCUCGUAGGCGGUUUGUCGCGUCUGCUGUGAAAACUCAGGGCUUAACUCUGAGCUUGCAGUGGGUACGGGCAGACUAGAGUGCGGUAGGGGAGACUGGAAUUCCUGGUGUAGCGGUGAAAUGCGCAGAUAUCAGGAGGAACACCGGUGGCGAAGGCGGGUCUCUGGGCCGUAACCGACGCUGAGGAGCGAAAGCAUGGGGAGCGAACAGG